ACGCUCGACACCUACUGGAGGCAGCAGUGGGGAAUAUUGCACAAUGGGGGAAACCCUGAUGCAGCGACGCCGCGUGAGCGAAGAAGUAUUUCGGUAUGUAAAGCUCUAUCAGCAGGGAAGAAAAUGACGGUACCUGACUAAGAAGCCCCGGCUAACUACGUACCAGCAGCCGCGGUAAUCUGAGGCGGCGUGGCGAAGGC
rnacentral:rRNA from 1 species